CGUUGCGGUAGGACGAGUGAGGGACACCUUCGGGUGUGCUGAUUUCUUACUAUCAGUCUGCUAACCCUUGCUCGUUCUGCCACCAUA
ncrna:Acinetobacter baumannii ATCC 17978 C4 antisense RNA